UACGAAGGGGGCUAGCGUUGCUCGGAAUCACUGGGCGUAAAGGGUGCGUAGGCGGGUCUUUUAAGUCAGGGGUGAAAGCCCGGAGCUCAACUCCGGAACUGCCAUUGAAACUGUUGGACUUGAGUACGAGAGAGGUGAGUGGAAUUCCCAGUGUAGAGGUGAAAUUCGUAGAUAUUGGGAAGAACACCGGUGGCGAAGGCGGCUCACUGGCUCGUAACUGACGCUCAGGCGCGACAGCGUGGGGAUCAAACAGG
rnacentral:rRNA from 1 species